UCUUUUGUGAAAAGAAGAGUCAGUCAAUGCAGCAAACUUCAUUGUUGUCUUAUUUUUAGAAAUUGCCACUGUCACCCCAGCCUUCAACAACCACCACCCUGAUCAGUCAGCAGCCAUCAAUGAGGCAAGAUCCACCAGAAACAGAAACAGACUAGGACUCUCUGAAAGCUCAGCUGAUUGUUAACAUUUUCUGGCAAUAUUUUUAAUCAAGGUAAUUAUUCUUUCUGCUUCUUCAAUCUGCUAAAUACAAGAUGUCAAAAGUCCUGGAAAUGGCUAGAAUCUGUCCUGAACUCUUGGCAUCUUCUGAUACUCAACGAUGGAGCACGGCGUGAACAUCAUCCUGCUGCCCUACACAAUAUUGUCUAGACUAUGGGUAGCUAAAAAAUCUAUUUGCAAUUAAUAAUAAAGAAAUAAAAACAAAGUUCUGAUUAAGUAUUCUGCUGUAUAUUUUCCUAGAAUAUUGGCUACUUAAAUGUUUUCCAUAUAAUUAUUAAAUAAAUAUUUAUUCUGAAGCGGUC
rnacentral:lncRNA from 1 species